UACCCUUUGUCUUUCCAGCUCUUCAAAGCUCAACCUCAGUUUUCUAGGUCGGAACUCCUCCUUGUCUUCCUGAGCCAGCUGCUCGUCCUCUUCGUCUUCUUCCUGAUGCAACAGCACAAGGAGAAAGAACUCCUCUUCGCGAUUCUUUUCCAUGUCUUCAAAGUUCAUCAUGAUUUUGCCCGGAGGUCGUGAUGACUUUGCUGGAACCACCCGUACCAGGAUUGUGUCUUCUUCUCCCUAAAAUGUGUUUGAAAACGUAAGAUUAUUCAAGGUUUUACAACAAGGUAAAACUAUUGUCACACAGUAAAGAUUCAUUAAAUUAUAUGCACGAUGAAAAUGCACAUGUUACUUUGUACUUGUACAGCACUUCAUUUCAAAUUGUGCAUAAUAAGCAUAAGAUCAGUUUACAAAAUGGUGAGCAUCACUGAAUAUUAAACCAGCAGUUCCCUAGUGACAGUGUACAAAA